rnacentral:rRNA from 1 species
AGAGUUUGAUCCUGGCUCAGAACGAACGCUGGCGGCAUGCCUAACACAUGCAAGUCGAACGCUCCGAGGGUUUCGGCUUUCGGGGAGUGGCGCACGGGUGAGUAGCGCGUGGGAACCUGUCCUUUUGUGGGGGAUAACCGAGGGAAACUUCGGCUAAUACCGCAUGCGCCCCUGGUUUUCGGAGCAAUCCGGCGACCGGG